rnacentral:rRNA from 1 species
AGUGAACGCUGGCGGUAGGCCUAACACAUGCAAGUCGAACGGCAGCACAGUAAGAGCUUGCUCUUACGGGUGGCGAGUGGCGGACGGGUGAGGAAUACAUCGGAAUCUACUUUUUCGUGGGGGAUAACGUAGGGAAACUUACGCUAAUACCGCAUACGACCUACGGGUGAAAGCAGGGGAUCUUCGGACCUUGCGCGGUUGAAUGAGCCGAUGUCGGAUUAGCUAGUUGGCGGGGUAAAGGCCCACCAAGGCGACGAUCCGUAGCUGGUCUGAGAGGAUGAUCCGCCACACUGGAACUGAGACACGGUCCAGACUCCUACGGUGGGCAGCAGUGGGGAAUAUUGGACAAUGGGCGCAAGCCUGAUCCAGCCAUACCGCGUGGGUGAAGAAGGCCUUCGGGUUGUAAAGCCCUUUUGUUGGGAAAGAAAAGCAGCAGGUUAAUACCCCGCUGUUCUGACGGUACCCAAAGAAUAAGCACCGGCUAACUUCGUG